rnacentral:rRNA from 1 species
CAAUGGGGGAACCCUGAAUGCAGCGACGCCGCGUGAGUGAAGAAGUAUUUCGGUAUGUAAAGCUCUAUCAGCAGGGAAGAUAAUGACGGUACCUGACUAANAAGCCCCGGCUAACUACGUGCCAGCAGCCGCGGUAAUACGUAGGGGGCAAGCGUUAUCCGGAUUUACUGGGUGUAAAGGGAGCGUAGACGGCGAAGCAAGUCUGAAGUGAAAACCCAGGGCUCAACCCUGGGACUGCUUUGGAAACUGUUUUGCUAGAGUGUCGGAGAGGUAAGUGGAAUUCCUAGUGUAGCGGUGAAAUGCGUAGAUAUUAGGAGGAACACCAGUGGCGAAGGCGGCUUACUGGACGAUAACUGACGUUGAGGCUCGAAAGCGUGGGGAGCAAACAGGAUUAGAUACCCUGGUAGUCCAAGGGCGAAUUC